UAAAAUACCACAAUAAUUCACACUGCUUCUCUCUAUUUCUCUGAAAUUCUCUCUAAAUUCUCUCUCAGUUAACUCAUAAAAUAAUACGUCUUCUCAACAUAAGACUGAUUAAUAAAGAAGAAGGCGUAUGCAUGGUGGAGGUCAGUUACCCAUCAUGGGUUAACUGCUAUUAACUCCCCUUAGGGCCUUGUUUGGCUGACAAUAAUAGAUUUCAAAACCAUUUAAUUUAAUG
rnacentral:lncRNA from 1 species